GUGUUUGCUUUGGCAACACAUAUAUUAAAAUUGGAACAAUACAGAGAUUAGCAUGGCCCUUGCACAAAGAUCACAUGCAAAUUCGUGAAGCUCUCCAUAUUUUU